AUGAGGCAUUUAAAAACUUUGAUGCAGAGAGUAUCGUAAUUUCAUGAAAAGAUAAUUUCGGUACACAAUGUAGAAUGUUAAAUCUUAUACUAGAUUUAAUGAAUAAAUUGAGACUUAUCUUUAAUUAUGUGUCAACGCACCCAUUUGUAUGAAAGUUUCAUUUGUUCCAUGGGUAGCUUGGCACACCUACAUCUACACCCUCAUAUUUUCAUUUUGGGUACCCAAGCUUGCUUGGGUCCUUGAGGGUUAGUGCAUAUGGUUCCUUUUGGAAUCCAAAUCUGUUUAAUCGUAAUAACUUUACCAUUUGAUUUAUUCGUAUUAGAACCAUAG
rnacentral:lncRNA from 1 species